rnacentral:misc_RNA from 1 species
GAUGAAGAACGUAGCGAAAUGCGAUACGUAGUGUGAAUUGCAGAAUCCAGUGAAUCAUCGAAUCUUUGAACGCACAUUGCGCCCGCCAGUAUUCUGGCGGGCAUGCCUGUUCGAGCGUCAUUUCAACCCUCAAGCCCAGCUUGGUGUUGGGGAUCGGCACAGGCGCCCUCGGGCGCCCGCCGUCCCCUAAAUCUAGUGGCGGUCCCGCUGCAGCCUCCUCUGCGUAGUAGUUUUCUCCUCGCAAGGGCAGCUCGGUGGCGACCUCGCCGUAAAACCCCCAACUUCUGAAAGGUUGACCUCGAAUCAGGUAGGAAUACCCGCUGAACUUAAGCAUAUCAAUAAGCGGAGGA